rnacentral:rRNA from 1 species
AACGGGUUAUAGUUUACUAUAACUGUCAGCUAAGUGGCGCACGGGUGAGUAAUAUAUAGGUAACGUGCCCUAGAGAAGAGGAUAACAAUUGGAAACGAUUGCUAAUACUCUAUAUGCCUUUAAGUCAAAAGACUGCAAGGGAAAUAUUUAUAGCUCUAGGAUCGGCCUGUACGGUAUCAGUUAGUUGGUGAGGUAAUGGCUCACCAAGACAAUGACGCCUAACUGGUUUGAGAGGAUGAUCAGUCACACUGGAACUGAGACACGGUCCAGACUCCUACGGGAGGCAGCAGUGGGGAAUAUUGCACAAUGGACGAAAGUCUGAUGCAGCAACGCCGCGUGGAGGAUGACACAUUUCGGUGCGUAAACUCCUUUUAUAUAGGAAGAUAAUGACGGUACUAUAUGAAUAAGCACCGGCUAACUCCGUGCCAGCAGCCGCGGUAAUACGGAGGGUGCAAGCGUUACUCGGAAUCACUGGGCGUAAAGAGCGUGUAGGCGGAUAGUUAAGUUUGAAGUGAAAUCCAAUGGCUCAACCAUUGAACUGCUUUGAAAACUGAUUAUCUAGAAUAUGGGAGAGGUAGAUGGAAUUUCUGGUGUAGGGGUAAAAUCCGUAGAGAUCAGAAGGAAUACCGAUUGCGAAGGCGAUCUACUGGAACAUUAUUGACGCUGAGACGCGAAAGCGUGGGGAGCAAACAGGAUUAGAUACCCUGGUAGUCCACGCCCUAAACGAUGUACACUAGUUGUUGUGAGGCUAGACCUUGCCAGUAAUGCAGUUAACACAUUAAGUG